GGUGAAGAUGUGACAUGAUUUGAUCUUCCAGCAGCUCUAUGACAGAGAUGUCAGGUGGCUUGUUGUCGUCCGCUCUGGUCACGUGCUCUCGUCUAUAUGAGGGCUCUGCUGCGCAUGCGCACUGCUCAGUGUUGUCAGCGCGUCCUCAGUCGGGUCUCUCAGGCUCGUGUGGAUGUCAGGAUCAGGUUUUGCCGUUAUCUUGCUCUUCGUUUCCUAAGAAGUGUUGCUCGGUUACACAUCACUGAUCCUGCUGAGAGACUGUUAGUCCUGUAGGUGUUGAGCGGUGCAGAUGCUGAUGAUCGGGGGUCAGAUGAAGCCUGUGUUUGAGCGGGACGCGUGCGGGCUGGACGGCAGCCGGUCAGUUCAUUCAGAUGCUGCUCACGUUAUGAAAUAUUAACAGCCAUCAGAACACAUUCAGUGCAGCCAGAGAUCACGAUCGUUAAUUAGAGUAAAACUGACAUCACAAAAUGGCUUUGUUUAAUUAUUGAAUUGCAAAGCCUGUGAUUUAAGUAAUUUUUGUAAGUGUUUUUUUUUUUUUUUUCAGAAUGAAGCAUCUGUAAAUAACAUUGGAUGCCCAAAUUGUGCAUAUAAAUAUAAUGUAAAAUAAAAAAAUUAAGGUAAAAAUAUAUAGUAGAUGU
ensembl:lncRNA